GACGAACGCUGGCGGCGUGCCUAACACAUGCAAGUCUAACGAGAAAGGGGUAGCAAUAUCCUGAGUACAGUGGCGCACGGGUGAGUAACACGUAGGCAAUUUGCCUUCAGGACGGGGACAACCUCGAGAAAUCGGGGCUAAUACCCGAUAAUGCAGCGGCACCGCAUGGUGACAGUUGUUAAAGGCCCGCAAGGGCGCCCGGAGAUGAGCCUGCGUCCCAUUAGGUAGUUGGUGAGGUAACGGCCCACCAAGCCUACGAUGGGUAGCUGGUCUGAGAGGAUGAUCAGCCACACUGGAACUGAGACACGGUCCAGACUCCUACGGGAGGCAGCAGUGAGGAAUAUUGCGCAAUGGCCGAAAGGCUGACGCAGCGACGCCGCGUGAAGGAUGAAGUCCGUUAGGAUGUAAACUUCUUUUGCAGGGAAGAAUGUGGCGCCUUGGGCGCCAUGACGGUACCCUGCGAAUAAGGGUCGGCGUAACUACGUGCC
rnacentral:rRNA from 1 species